GACGAACGCUGGCGGCAGGCCUAACACAUGCAAGUCGAACGAGUGGCGGACGGGUGAGCAAUGUCUGGGAAACUGCCUGAUGGAGGGGGAUAACUACUGGAAACGGUAGCUAAUACCGCAUACCAUCAGCUGUGUCCAGAUGGGAUUAGCUAGUUGGUGGGGGAACGGCUCACCACGGCUACGCUCCCUAGCUGGGCUGAGAGGAUGACCAGCCACACUGGAACUGAGACACGGUCCAGACUCCUACGGGAGGCAGCAGUGGGGAAUAUUGGACAAUGGGCGCAAGCCUGAUGCAGCCAUGCCGCGUGGAUGAAGAAGGCCUUCGGGUUGUAAAGUACUUUCAGCGGGGAGGCGUUACCCGCAGAAGAAGCACCGGCUAACUCCGUGCCAGCAGCCGCGGUAAUUC
rnacentral:rRNA from 1 species